rnacentral:rRNA from 1 species
AGCUCACUGGUCGAGUCGGCCUGCGCGUAAGAUGUAACGGGGCUAAACCAUGCACCGAAGCUGCGGCAGCGACACUAUGUGUUGUUGGGUAGGGGAGCGUUCUGUAAGCCGUUGAAGGUGUAUCGUGAGGUAUGCUGGAGGUAUCAGAAGUGCGAAUGCUGACAUAAGUAACGAUAAUGCGGGUGAAAAACCCGCACGCCGGAAGACCAAGGGUUCCUGUCCAACGUUAAUCGGGGCAGGGUGAGUCGACCCCUAAGGCGAGGCCGAAAGGCGUAGUCGAUGGGAAACAGGUUAAUAUUCCUGUACUUGGUGUUACUGCGAAGGGGGGACGGAGAAGGCUAUGUUAGCCGGGCGACGGUUGUCCCGGUUUAAGCAUGUAGGCGGAGGUUCCAGGUAAAUCCGGUACCUUAUUAACGCUGAGGUGUGAUGACGAGGCACUACGGUGCUGAAGUAACAAAUGCCCUGCUUCCAGGAAAAGCCUCUAAGCAUCAGGUAACACGAAAUCGUACCCCAAACCGACACAGGUGGUCAGGUAGAGAAUACCAAGGCGCUUGAGAGAACUCGGGUGAAGGAACUAGGCAAAAUGGUGCCGUAACUUCGGGAGAAGGCACGCUGAUAUGUAGGUGAAGUGGUUUACCCAUGGAGCUGAAAUCAGUCGAAGAUACCAGCUGGCUGCAACUGUUUAUUAAAAACACAGCACUGUGCAAACACGAAAGUGGACGUAUACGGUGUGACGCCUGCCCGGUGCCGGAAGGUUAAUUGAUGGGGUUAUCCGUAAGGAGAAGCUCUUGAUCGAAGCCCCGGUAAACGGCGGCCGUAACUAUAACGGUCCUAAGGUAGCGAAAUUCCUUGUCGGGUAAGUUCCGACCUGCACGAAUGGCGUAAUGAUGGCCAGGCUGUCUCCACCCGAGACUCAGUGAAAUUGAACUCGCUGUGAAGAUGCAGUGUACCCGCGGCAAGACGGAAAGACCCCGUGAACCUUUACUAUAGCUUGACACUGAACACUGGUCCUUGAUGUGUAGGAUAGGUGGGAGGCUUUGAAGUGUGGACGCCAGUCUGCAUGGAGCCAUCCUUGAAAUACCACCCUUUAAUGGCUGGUGUUCUAACGUAGACCCGUAAUCCGGGUUGCGGACAGUGUCUGGUGGGUAGUUUGACUGGGGCGGUCUCCUCCUAAAGAGUAACGGAGGAGCACGAAGGUUAGCUAAUCCUGGUCGGACAUCAGGAGGUUAGUGCAAAGGCAUAAGCUAGCUUGACUGCGAGAGUGACGGCUCGAGCAGGUGCGAAAGCAGGUCUUAGUGAUCCGGUGGUUCUGAAUGGAAGGGCCAUCGCUCAACGGAUAAAAGGUACUCCGGGGAUAACAGGCUGAUACCGCCCAAGAGUUCAUAUCGACGGCGGUGUUUGGCACCUCGAUGUCGGCUCAUCACAUCCUGGGGCUGAAGUAGGUCCCAAGGGUAUGGCUGUUCGCCAUUUAAAGUGGUACGCGAGCUGGGUUUAGAACGUCGUGAGACAGUUCGGUCCCUAUCUGCCGUGGGCGCUGGAGAAUUGAGGGGGGCUGCUCCUAGUACGAGAGGACCGGAGUGGACGCAUCACUGGUGUUCGGGUUGUCAUGCCAAUGGCAUUGCCCGGUAGCUAAAUGCGGAAGAGAUAAGUGCUGAAAGCAUCUAAGCACGAAACUUGCCCCGAGAUGAGUUCUCCCUGACCCUUUAGGGNUCCUGAANGAACGUU